rnacentral:rRNA from 1 species
ACGAACGCUGGCGGCAGGCUUAACACAUGCAAGUCGAACGCGUGUAGCAAUACACGAGUGGCGCACGGGUGAGUAACGCGUGGGAACGUGCCUUUUAGUCUGGGAUAACUACGGGAAACUGUAGCUAAUACCGGAUACGCCCUUCGGGGGAAAGUUUUUCGCUAAAAGAUCGGCCCGCGUUAGAUUAGGUAGUUGGUGGGGUAAAAGCCUACCAAGCCUACGAUCUAUAGCUGUUCUGAGAGGAAGACCAGCCACACUGGAACUGAGACACGGUCCAGACUCCUACGGGAGGCAGCAGUGGGGAAUAUUGGACAAUGGGGGAAACCCUGAUCCAGCCAUGCCGCGUGAGUGAUGAAGGCCUUAGGGUUGUAAAGCUCUUUUGCCAGGGAAGAUGAUGACGGUACCUGGAGAAUAAGCACCGGCUAACUUCGU